UCCAACUGAUUUCCUUGUACAGUGAGUGGUUUGAGUGUUGGAAAGCAGGGUUUGAAUCUAGCUCAGCCAUAGAAACCCACCGGAUGAUCUCAGACAAACCAUACUUUUUCAGUCUGAGAGGAAAGCAAUGGUAAUCCUCUCUUGAAUAAAACUCACCAAGAAAACCCAAUGAUAGUGUUGCCAUAAGUCAGAGGUAACUUGAAGGCACACAACAACAUCAACAACAACAUGAUGUGAAGGGGCAAGUCUGGGCUCUGUACAAACAUGCUGGAUGGAUAUGCUAGAUGUGUCUCUGAUUCCCUAUGAUGAGAGAAAUCAACUGCAGAGUUUCUGUUUCUGCUUGCCAACUCUUGUACCAUGUGUGUGGGAAGCCUAGUUAAACCAACUUAAGCAAUAAUGUUAAGCAACAUAGGAAUUUUUUUGUUUCAAACAACACUGUUACUUUUAAUUCUAUAUUUUCAUUUUUGGUUUUGUUGCUUAGUGCUCAGCUAAAUGGCACUAAGUUGUUCUGGUGGCCCUCCAUUUUUUUUACAGCAUCCGAGAGCAAUGUUGUAUGACAGCACUGAGUACAAUGGGAAGCUUUUGGUGGGAGCAAAUAAAAAAGGAUGGAGUUACCUGACUUAAAAAUGCAAGGAAAACACUAGUGGUUGGUGACUGUCUGCAUUAAUGAUGAACAUAAGCAGUGCCCUAUCUAGUCCAGCACGGAUUAAUACAGUGGCCAACCAAAUGGCUAUGGAAAACCCACUAGCAGGCCAUGAGCACAACCGCACCCUCCCACUCAUGUUCCCCAGUAAGUAGUAAGAGAUACUAGAGGUAAGCCAUAGCCUUCAUGACUAAAAGUCAAUAUUAUCUUUAUCCUCCCAAAGGAUAUAUCAGAUUCUUUCAGAAUACAAAUAUCACAUAUUUGAGGGUAUGUUGUAAUAGGUAAUUAAUUUUGGUUGCUAUCCUACUUUGGCUAAGUACAGUCGGCCCUUCUUAUACACGGAUUUCUUAUACACGGAUUCAAGCAUAUACGGUUUGAAAAUGUUCAAAAAAGUAUAAAUUUCAAAUAUCAAACCUUGAUUUUCCAUUUUUUAUAAGGGACACCAUUUUGUUAUGUCAUUAUAUCUAUUGGGACUUGAGCAUACACGGAUUUUGUUAUACACGGGGGAUCUUGGAACCAAACCCCAGCGUAUAACAAGGGUCCACUGUAGUGUCUUCUGGCCCAGUCCAGCCAUCCUACUUUACUAGGCAACAGUUGCUCCAACAGAAGGAAGUCCAUUCUGCUGGCAAUUAGGGCACAUGUGGUUUGUGUUUCUAUCCCCUCCUACCAGUAAGUAAGUCUAUGACAAGGACUUGCCGCAGAGAGCCUGCUUCUAGUUGUCACAACCUUGCUUGUUGAUGGGAGGAGAUGGAAGCAUCAUUCGUCCAAGCCGCAAUUGCCAGGAGAACAGGCUUCCUGCUCUUGAAGCAGCUGCUACCUGGUAAAGGAGGUUUGGGAAGGCAGUUACAAUCAUGCCAAUAGUGGCAUGAUCAUGAAUGUGUAGAGAUCAUGAAUAUGGAGCAGGUAGGAUAUAAACUGUGACUAGCAUUUACCGUUGCAGUUCCGGUGUGCACCCUAGACUUACACAAUCAUAACUGAAACAGUGAAUGCUAGCCACAGUUUAUAUCCUUACCUUUCCCCCAAAACUGGGAUUCUGGGCAGUUUACUAAUGAGACCAGAUCCAAAAGAUUGGUCUGUGGGGAUGAAUUAUCAUGUGGAAAUAUACUUCUGAUUGAUGGUGCUUGCAUGGGCAUAUAGGCUUAGUUGUACAUAGUUGAGUUAUUUGGUUUUGCUAUUGAAUUUAUCCUCUGAUUCACUGUAGUCUGUGCUUGGUCUUCUAAGCUACAGAGACCCUUCCUCCUCACUGUUGAUAGGAAAGGAAGCAGAACUUCUGCAAUGAAAUUUAGCAAUCCUACCCUAUGUUUUUCUUUUAUUAUUAUAAAAAUAUCUAUAUAUUUUUCAAAAUGUUAGUCUGUGUUUCAUUGCAUUGCUGGUGGAUUCUCGUGUGUGUGUGUGUGUGUGUGUGUGUGUGAAUGAACCUUCAAGUUGCCUGUCAGCUUAUGGUGACCCCAUGGAUUUCAUAUGAUUUUCUUAGGCAAGGAAUACUCAGAGGUGCUUUUGGCAGUUACUUCCUCUGAAAUAUAGCCUACAGCACCUGGUAUUUGUUGGCAGUCUUUUAUCCAAGUUCUAACUAGAGCUUGGUUAUCCUGCUUAUUUUGCAAGUUCAGACAGGAUCUGGUGCCUUUAGGGUACCGUAUUUAGGCCUUCAGUCCUUUGUAUUUUUUAAAAAAAAAACAAAGGUUGAACAUCUAUCUACCUAUCAUCCAGUAUAUUACCUGCAUCUACACCAAGGUUUUGGACUGGAGAGCCCUUGGAAACAUUUCCAAGUAUACAGAUCUGUGAUUUUUUGUUUUAUGUUAGAGGGAAACAUGCAUAGAAGUGUAACUGCUAGUUACAAGUGAAUACAGGGAAGGUAUAAUCAAAGCUUUUUAAAACAGAGUUGGAAAAUACUUUUAUUCCAUUUUUAAAAAUAAUUCUUCACAUUUUACUUCAUAUGAAAACCCACUGGAUGACUUUGGG